rnacentral:rRNA from 1 species
AGAGAUGUGUGAUGACGCAUAUCAAUAAGCGGAGGAAAAGAAACUAACAAGGAUUCCCUUAGUAACGGCGAGUGAAGCGGGAAGAGCUCAAAUUUGAAAUCUUCAAGGGUUUCCCUUGACGAAUUGUAGUUUAUAGAAGUGUUUUCUGUUAGUAGAGUGGCAAAAGUUCUUUGGAAUAGGACAUCAUAGAGGGUGAGAAUCCCGUAUUUGGUCAUUCUUUCUAGCUUUGUGAUACACUUUCAACGAGUCGGAUUGUUUGGGAGUGCAGUCCAAAAUGGGUGGUAAAUUUCAUCUAAAGCUAAAUGUUGGCGAGAGACCGAUAGCGAACAAGUACCGUGAGGGAAAGAUGAAAAGAACUUUGAAAAGAGAGUUAAACAGUACGUGAAAUUGUCAAAAGGGAAGCGUUUGACACCAGUGUUGUUUUUCCGAAAAUCAAUUACGAAUGUUUUGUUUUUGAGGAGUUAUGACUUCAUCGGCUUGCUCCUUUCUUUAUGAAACUUUCUUAAUGCACUUUUCGGUUAACAAGUCAACAUCAAUUUCUUUUGUUGUAAAAGGUUAAGAGGAAGGUGGCUUUACUUUCGGGUAAAGUGUUUAUAGCCUUGUGCCUCUGCAAUCGGAGAGAUUGAGGUCUGCAGCGUAGAUCCUUCGGGGUUAGAUACGUUUGUGCUAAGUUAUAGCUUUUCAUAGACAGCUUGUUGACUAUGUUAAGUCUUGUAGCUUACUCGCUUAUGCUAUUUUACCUACGCUUAGGAUGUUGAGUAGCGACAUACGCAC